ensembl:lncRNA LINC02401 long intergenic non-protein coding RNA 2401
UUUUUAAAGCUCUCUUCCCUUCCCCACCUUGAGUGUACAAUGGAGAGUGCUAGUGUGGUGUCACAUGGUGCAACAUGGCUCAGUGUUGUGUGAAACUAAGAUUUGGGGCAUAUUUUAUAAUGAACAUAACAUAUGAGCAUAACAGUCGUGAUUAACGUAUACAAUUAAAGAUAUGUGGAAAUGACUCCAUCUCCGACCACACAUCCUCUGAGUAAUUUUGAUGGGGAUGGCUUAUGUUCUACUGCCACCUCGUGGUGGGCAUUCUGUGAACAUGCAUCUUGGAACAGUGGGGAGAACCAGUUUGGACUUCUGAGGAUCCAAAAGCCCAAGAAAAAAAUCUGAGUUCUCACGACAAAGUCACUUCCUGCUACAACACCUGGAAAAUGUCAUGACCCGAGCUAGUCUCACUUCAGAGUCCCUGGUUUCUAGUACGGUGCCUGACAGAUAGAUGACUUUCUUUAUAUGUUGCUGAAGACAGGCAGAGAGGAAGAAAGGAAGAGAGGAUAAAGGGAGGAAUAAACUUGAUAUAAGCAUCUUUGCAUAAUUAACAACUGGGUCAAAUUUUCUUCAUUUCAUUGAGAUUCUUGAUACAAGCCUCUGCUGAUGAAUUGGAUUCCAAAAAGGUAGUUACAAUUUACAUUUAUGCCAAGUGCAAGCACAUACAUUUAUUACAUCUUUGCUAAAAUCAUAAUUAUCUUUAAAACUUUGCCCAA